rnacentral:rRNA from 1 species
ACAAGGUUUCCGUAGGUGAACCUGCGGAAGGAUCAUUACCGAGUGAGGGCCCUCUGGGUCCAACCUCCCACCCGUGUUUAUUUUACCUUGUUGCUUCGGCGGGCCCGCCUUAACUGGCCGCCGGGGGGCUUACGCCCCCGGGCCCGCGCCCGCCGAAGACACCCUCGAACUCUGUCUGAAGAUUGUAGUCUGAGUGAAAAUAUAAAUUAUUCAAAACUUUCAACAACGGAUCUCUUGGUUCCGGCAUCGAUGAAGAACGCAGCGAAAUGCGAUACGUAAUGUGAAUUGCAAAUUCAGUGAAUCAUCGAGUCUUUGAACGCACAUUGCGCCCCCUGGUAUUCCGGGGGGCAUGCCUGUCCGAGCGUCAUUGCUGCCCUCAAGCACGGCUUGUGUGUUGGGCCCCGUCCUCCGAUCCCGGGGGACGGGCCCGAAAGGCAGCGGCGGCACCGCGUCCGGUCCUCGAGCGUAUGGGGCUUUGUCACCCGCUCUGUAGGCCCGGCCGGCGCUUGCCGAUCAACCCAAAUUUUUAUC